rnacentral:rRNA from 1 species
UGCAGUCGAGCGGUAAGGCCUUUCGGGGUACACGAGCGGCGAACGGGUGAGUAACACGUGGGUGAUCUGCCCUGCACUUCGGGAUAAGCCUGGGAAACUGGGUCUAAUACCGGAUAUGACCUCCUGUUGCAUGACUUGGGGUGGAAAGAUUUAUCGGUGCAGGAUGGGCCCGCGGCCUAUCAGCUUGUUGGUGGGGUAAUGGCCUACCAAGGCGACGACGGGUAGCCGACCUGAGAGGGUGACCGGCCACACUGGGACUGAGACACGGCCCAGACUCCUACGGGAGGCAGCAGUGGGGAAUAUUGCACAAUGGGCGAAAGCCUGAUGCAGCGACGCCGCGUGAGGGAUGACGGCCUUCGGGUUGUAAACCUCUUUCAGCAGGGACGAAGCGCAAGUGACGGUACCUGCAGAAGAAGCACCGGCUAACUACGUGCCAGCAGCCGCGGUAAUACGUAGGGUGCAAGCGUUGUCCGGAAUUACUGGGCGUAAAGAGUUCGUAGGCGGUUUGUCGCGUCGUUUGUGAAAACCAGCAGCUCAACUGCUGGCUUGCAGGCGAUACGGGCAGACUUGAGUACUGCAGGGGAGACUGGAAUUCCUGGUGUAGCGGUGAAAUGCGCAGAUAUCAGGAGGAACACCGGUGGCGAAGGCGGGUCUCUGGGCAGUAACUGACGCUGAGGAACGAAAGCGUGGGUAGCGAACAGGAUUAGAUACCCUGGUAGUCCACGCCGU